rnacentral:rRNA from 1 species
UGAACGCUGGCGGCGUGCUUAACACAUGCAAGUCGAACGAACCUUCGGGUUAGUGGCGGACGGGUGAGUAACGCGUGAGAAUCUGCCCUCAGGAGGGGGAUAACGGCUGGAAACGGCCGCUAAUACCCCAUAUGCCGCGAGGUGAAAUGAAUUUCGCCUGAGGAUGAGCUCGCGUCUGAUUAGCUAGUUGGUGGGGUAAAGGCCUACCAAGGCAUCGAUCAGUAGCUGGUCUGAGAGGAUGAUCAGCCACACUGGGACUGAGACACGGCCCAGACUCCUACGGGAGGCAGCAGUGGGGAAUUUUCCGCAAUGGGCGAAAGCCUGACGGAGCAACGCCGCGUGAGGGAUGAAGGCCUCUGGGCUGUAAACCUCUUUUAUCAAGGAAGAAGAUCUGACGGUACUUGAUGAAUAAGCCACGG